AGUGAAGCACAUAAACCUGCUGAAUUUAAGCAUAUAAGUAAGUGGUGGAAAUUAAACCAAAUGGGAUUUCUUUAGUAAUUGCACAUGACAAACAGGAUUCUCACCC
rnacentral:rRNA from 1 species